rnacentral:rRNA from 1 species
AGAACGAACGCUGGCGGCAUGCCUAACACAUGCAAGUCGAACGCGUGUAGCGAUACACGAGUGGCGGACGGGUGAGUAACGCGUGGGAACCUGCCCUGGAGUGGGGGAUAACCGAUGGAAACGUCGGCUAAUACCGCAUACGACCUGAGGGUGAAAGAUUUAUCGCUCUAGGAGGGGCCCGCGUCGGAUUAGCUAGUUGGUGAGGUAAUGGCUCACCAAGGCUAUGAUCCGUAGCUGGUCUGAGAGGAUGAUCAGCCACACUGGGACUGAGACACGGCCCAGACUCCUACGGGAGGCAGCAGUGGGGAAUAUUGGACAAUGGGGGCAACCCUGAUCCAGCAAUGCCGCGUGAGUGAUGAAGGCCUUAGGGUUGUAAAGCUCUUUCGCCCACGACGAUGAUGACGGUAGUGGAGAGAGCCCGGCUAACUCGUGCCAGCAGCCGC